GAAUAAAAAUAAAAAAUAAAUAGUAGGUGAUAUAAUUUUAAAAUAUAACUCCAUCUCCCAAAAACCCUUAACCUGACUUCAUCAAGAAAAUGAAUACGUCAAAGAAACCACCAAGAGAAGUUGAAGUCUAGCCGGAGACAAUUACCGGCGGUCCUUCUGGCAGCGCUACCAUCUUUCAACCUGGUUGUCUGCCGGAAAAACGAUUAGUGGUGAGCUUAGUUAUCUAUGACCGCCAUCAGUUGUCUGUUCAAAACUCUCUCCACUAGUAGAUUUACAUGCUUGUGUCGUUUCUCCGUUGCUAGACCUAGCCAGGAAAUAACUCUGUGUGUAGACUUGACCAUGAGCCCGAGAACUCUCCGAAGGUCGAUUUUCUGGAGUUUGUGGAUGCUAAGUGAUUUUUCAUGCGCUCCCCUGUUUCAUCAUUUCCCGACGAUUAAGGUCCCUCUCUUCCUCUUUUAAUGCCAUGGUUCUAGUGAACAACAUUCAAGACUUCUUAAAAGGCCUCCUGAUAUGGCUUGCAAACCAGAAAGAAAUCUCCAGAAGUCACCUGUUCGGUCCCGGAAGACAUUCUUUGGAAACUCAAGAAACUUAUACGUUUCCGAGUCCGCAUAUGUCUAUCAGCUGAAGAUGAUGAUAUGAGAAGCUUUUGGGUAUCACCGCUUUUACUUUUUGAACAUAUGCUGUUCUUAAAUUUGUUUUCCUUGGCUAACUUACUUGUUUAUGAGGGGAGACCUUUUUUGGUAAUACUAGUUUGGUAUGAGUAGAUUUUAGAAUUAGUAAGUUUUUCAGAUAGGCAAUGUCUUGUAAAGGGAAAUAGUCGUUUAAGAAUAUCAGAGUUUGAUUGUUUUUAUGCUGGCUGUCAAUCAAUCACAACCCUCCUCUAUCCAUAUUUUGGAUCGACUAUUCUUUUUCGUCGGUGGAGUCGAUAUCAUGAAAAUAUUAGCAUGAAAUAACAGUAUAAUAAGAUUAAGUCCAUAAAAUCAUUGAACAAAUCUUACCUUAAGCAAAGUAAGUCCAUCCAAAUCUACAGGCUCCAUAUUGAACUCCACAUCUAAAGAAAACCUACUCCAACAACAACUAUGCCUCAAUCCCAAACAAAUUGGAUCUGCUAUAUGAAUUUUUACUUCUUCAUUUAAGCUCAUUUCAUAACAUGUUCAUACUAAAUUAAAAAAAAAAAGUGAAAAAUAAGCAAUAUAUAUAUAAAAAAAAAUACGAAUAAUAAUAUUAGAAGUUGUCUAACAAGUUUAAAACAUGUACUGAAC